CUCGCUGACGAGCGGCGGACGGGUGAGUAACGCGUAGGAAUCUGCCCAAUAGUGGGGGAUAGCCCGGGGAAACUCGGAUUAAUACCCUAUAAUAUUUACUACUCGCAUGAGUUGGUAUCUUAAAACUCCGGUGGUUAUAGAUGGGCAUGCGGCCUAUUAGUUUGUUGGUGAGGUAACGGCUCACCAAGACUACGAUAGGUAGGGGUUCUGAGAGGAUGGUCAGCCACACUGGGACUGAGAUACGGCCCAGACUCC
rnacentral:rRNA from 1 species